GGGAAUGUGGCUUAGUGGUACAGCACUUGCUUGGCAUGCAUGAAACUCUGGGUUCAAUUCCUCAGUACCA
rnacentral:tRNA from 1 species